UAACAUGCGUCAUUGAGACAUCAUUGUUCAACCCAUUUUUGCUCGGUACCUUGUCACAUUAGUGGAAAAAUGACCCAAAACACAAGAAUGUUCUUCAUGUGGCGUGAAGAACACCCCUCGAGUGCUCAAGAGAGAACGCCUUCAAAAUCACGAGUUCAGUGACCCUAAUGAUUCCGGCGACCUGGUCAAGGACUGCAUGGAAAACGAACGAUUGCGAAAACCCGAGUCAGUGAGACAGUGCGACGCACAUACAGGAAAUGCAAGUUGGUUUGUGCUCCGGAGAUAAGAACUAACGUCGUUACAGUUCAACAAAUUAAUCAUUACAGAAUGUCAAAAAAAUGAGAAAAUCUAAAAUCUGUACCCCCAAUCGGAUAUUAUGAAGGCGACUAACCCCUCAAAUCCCAGUGAUAACUGAAUGUAUUUCCUACUUUAACGAUCUGCAACUUUGUAUUCUCCCCAGAAUGUAUUUAUGGAUUUCGUAUGAUUCUCAAAAUGGAAACAUUCUAUGUUUUCUUUGUUAUAAGAACAAUAUUUUAAAACAUAAUGCAGAUCGAUUCGGCCUCAAAGGCCAAAGUAAAAUAGGAUGAAACCAAAUGAACAUACAGCACGCAAUGGAAACCAUAAACGUACGCAAAAUGUUCGCUGUAAAACGUCAAGGAAGAACAUAAUUGAAAGCCCAACAACAUGAAGGGAAGAUGGGUUAAAAUUUAUCUUACAUAAUGUAAACUUCAUUGAAAUGGCCAAGGAUAAAAUCCAGUGGUGGAGUUUUGUGAUGACGAUGAUGCACCCACAGACAUUUUACGUUAUGUUGGUACCACUGAAUUCUGAUUCUCACGGCUUGCAAAUGACACACCCCGUCUGCAUAAUUUCUCACAAGGUCAUGACUCAUAAAAGUGAACUGUGAAUGUCGCAUGAUCAAUAAUUCACCUCAUUAUUAAUUAUUUAGGUCUGCAUUUUGUGUAUCAGAAUCAAGAAUAUGCGCUGAACAUACAAUGUCUUUUAAAAACUCGUUCUUUGUCAAAUGUUACUUUUGUACCCAGACUAUAAUAAUCUGUAGUCUUACUAGUGACUGUCAACAAUAAAAUUAUUACACAUC